ensembl:lncRNA
UCACAUUCUUGUGCCAGGUCCUCUUCCACAGCGUGUAGCAGCUUGGGGUUAGCUUCAUUAUCCUCAGCCUUCCUACCACGUUUGCUGAAACAGGUGUCCAUCUAGCUACAGUUGUGUAAGUAACGAAAACAGCACCAUGUCAUAGAAGCUAAGGUUAAGAUACAAUAGUCAAUCGUGACAUCUUAGUUGUUUAGAAAUAGCGACAAGAAAACUGGAGCAAAUACUACUAGCCUCUAUGCUACUAACGUUAUAGCCUGUUGGCUGCCUUGUAACGGAGACGUAAGGACUUUGUACUUAAAGGCUAACUAGUAUUAGUUAGUACUUAAUAAAACGGCAAAGACUGUAAACAAAAGACUAACGUCACAGUUAUAAUGUCCUCCUCAAAAAAAUGUUCUUUUAAAAUCCAAAUUACACACCGGUAUUUCGCGUUAGCUUACCUGAAGUAGGAAACUUCCAGACUGUUGAUCAGUGUGUUGCACUGCUGGCAUGUCCGUCACGUCGCCUUGGGAUCUACUCAUGUGGAUACUGACGUUACGUAAACGUUACGUUACGCGCGCAUUCAGUUCAAAUUCAACAACACUUGUAAACAGUGAUGAAAUAUUAAUACAUGUGUUAGUUUUAAUUAGUUUUAUAUUUAGAAAAGCCAACUACGUUUGAAAUCUCAUAACUUUUUUCACGAAUACAGGUGCAGUUCCCCUGUAGACACACGUGGGGGCGCUGUUCUGUCUUGUUGAUGGAGCAUUGAGCGACGAGAAGAAGACUGACGUACCGACUUAAAAAAAAAGGCGCGGGUGCGGAUCAGAGACGGGUGACUAGUUGUUGAUGCAAUGGCACUGAUGGGAGAACUUUUAAAACAUAUUAGGCGUUCAAAUACACACAAGAGCAGAAGGAAAAUUGUGAAAUAGAUGCAGAAACGUGGUAUCCUGACGACGACGACGAUGAAGUGCGCAAAAUGCAACCGUCGCAUGCAUCUGGUGAAAUGCCAUGUCGAGGAUGGGCUGUGGUGGGUCUGUAAGCAUCAUAAAAGUUUGUACGUAAUGGCUCAAUAUUCACCAAGUCUCACAUCCCCCUGACAAAAUGGCUCGAGCACAUGCACAGGUACAGUAUUAAUAUAUCAAAUGUAUUUUUUAUUACAUAUCUAAAUAACAUAUUUAGCAGUCUUUUAUUUGUGUAAUUCAUGUAGGAUUGUUAUAUUAGGAAUUCCGUUCAACCAGCCCCUCAAAUUUGAUGCACAUGAUAUCUUAAUGCAAAGUUAAAAUCAUUAAAUCACUGUAGGAGGGAAAUGGGAAAUGUGUUAUAAAGUCAUUUAGCAGUGUAGUUACACUUAACGACAUCGUAAUGAAAAGGACAACAUUUAUGACACAAUUGUAAUGGUUUUAUGACAGCGAAUGUCAAAACCAUCCAUAUAUGACGGUUUAAUGUCGCUCUAAGAUAUGAAGCCAAACGUUUUGCUUAAGUUUGACAGUUAGGUCUGUUAUGGCAUGUUAAUGACAUGUUAAUGACAGGUUUUGUUGUCUUGGUUUAUAUCAAGUUGUCAUAACAAGGACAUCUCAAACAAUGUCACCGUUGCAUCAAAAGUGACAUAACUUACCGAAUGACACUUAAUGAAACUGUCAUGUCAUGCUUAUGACAAUGUUAUGUCAGCCUUAUGAACACCCAUUCAAGUAAAGUGUUACCAAUAAUUUUCAUCUGCGCUGUAUGGUCUGUGACCCUCCAAUCAGUGCCUAGCGGCUGCGGCGGCAACACCAAUCAGGAUCCAUCCAGGAACUUUGUAAACACAUACAGGUUGUGGAUUCGCCUGCCUGCCCACCUGUUCGGAAUGGAUUUAUUAGCCAUGGAUAUGAAGGGACCAUUGAGUGCUCCCACUCCCACAGAUGCCCGCAAAAGGCCUCAAGUACAAAGUGAGACUAAAGAAGAUCAAUUCACGUUUUUUAAACAUUGCAUUAAGACCGGGACAAACAAUAUUAAUCACGCAUUGAGCGUGACAGUCACUCAUUUCAUUUCGGUCUUUAGUCACGCACCAAUUUCGCACCAAAAAAAAUAAAUUCAUAGUUUACCCACCUCUAAUUUUACCACAACAAUGUUGGAUACAGGAUAACAUUAGCACAAAGCUAUCCUUUUUUAUACAUUACAUCCAUCUCAGUGUGUUUAGGUCCUUACAGUAGAUAGAAACAACCAGAUUCCAUCCCUGAAGGCCUAUUGGUGAUCUCAUUAGGCACACACUCACAAUGCAUUAGCUCAUUCACUUCAACCGCAGAAUGGGAGCAAUAGUUUGAAAAUUGACCAUUUGCAUUUCGCAGCCUUUAUUUAAAUUCUUUUUUGGCUCUGCCUUAUCAGCCACAACGAUUAGAGAUGCUGCUUUGCAUCUAGUUUCUAUAAACAGUCUGGGUCCCAAUCUUUGUUAACUUCCUCUACCCUUUUCACAGAACUUAAAAAUCAAAGGCCAUAUGGCUGAAUACACCCAUCAGAUGCUUUCAGAUCCCGGACUGUUGGUGGAAAGUGCAUGUCCCAAUGACAGAAAUGAGCUCAGACAGCACGAGGUCACAUAAUCCUAUGUGUGAAUUAGAAGAUUGUGCAUUUCACAAUAAUUAAUUACUUAUUCUCAUACGGGCUGUCAGCCACUAUUUACAUGAUCUCCCAAUACACACAAAGGUGUCUGCUCUAAUAAGAAGCAAUUCCGCUCAAAAAUUGAUUAUCAGCGAAGGAUUAGUAAUCCUCAACAGGAAUGUUUGGAAAAAGUGUGGAUACAAGAAUUAUAGUGUGGUGUUAUUUGUCAUGAUGGUAUACAAAUAAUAACCGAGGCUCCCUAGUCUUGUCGCAAUCAGACCUUCUUGUGAGGAAGGACCCCCUCUGGCCCGAUGUUAGAUUGUUCGAUUCAAAUCAAAGGAUGUUUAUUCUUCAUAAAAACGAGUUACAAGUUGAAUCACGUAACAAUAUAUUUCAUGAAAAAGAGGUCAAUUGUGUUUCACCCAAUAGUGAAACAUGUUGUGGAAUAUUUCAAUAAAAUAGUUCGGGAGAGGAGAAUGAAUUCUUUCAAUGUUUAUCUAAUAAAAAACUAAAAGAGUCUUGAUGAAUAAAAUUGUUUUACACAUGUGAAGGCCAUCCUCAGUGGCAGGUACGAGAAGUUGCAAAUCCAAGUUGAGAUAUUAACCAUGAUUAAGAUGGGGGUAACACACACAGUUCCUUUGUUUGAGCAAGUUAACUCCCUUCUUCAGACACAGCUGCAUAUGGAAACCUUAAAUCUUUCUGCUUUUGCACAUCACUGCAAUACAGACAAUAAUCACUCUUUUAGCAUAACAUAUUUUUACCACUACAAGAGUAUUCUUUAAUCACACAUAAUAUUGCAAGCAAAUGUAAAACAUAAAAUAAAAUAAAAUAUAAAAUAUAGAACACCAGGACCAUGAACACUGAAACAUAAGAAAAUAAAAUAAUAAUGUCGAAACAAGUUCCCCCUAGCCUCUUGAGGGUGUUCCAUGGGCGUUGUCGCUCCAUGAUAAGCGCGAACCACUCUUUAGGUAGCUGACUACUAGGGGUGUAACUAUUCAUCCACUGAAUCGAUUAAUCGAUUUAUAUUCCUGCGAUCCACCUGAAUCGAUCUGUGCUCCGCAAAUCGGGAUUCUGGACGACAUAUAUCGAUUACAAAUCGAUUGAAAUGGUACAUAAUCUAUUUGUAAUCUAUUUGGGGUCGUCGUGGCGCAGGGGUUAGAGAAGGUGUGCUGGGAAGCACAAGGUUCGAUUCCAGGCUGCCCCAUGUUCCAUGUCAAAGUGUCCCUGAGCAAGACACCUAACCCCUAAUUCCCCGGGCAAAAAUGUGAAAAGCCAUGGGUUUAAAGUGUAAUGUAAGUCGCUUUGGAUAAAAGCGUCAGCUAAAUGACCUGUAAUGUAAUGUAUCGAUACUUGGAAACUGCACAUUGGAUUUAAGCACAAAAACUGUAUGGAUGUUUGUUUGUUUUUUAGCACUUUAGACACGUUAAACGUUACUCGAUUCAGUCUGCCUGUCUGUGACGUCAUCAGUACGCAGCGGCAGCCGCGCAAAACUGAACAACAACAAAACCCAGCGUUGAGGAGACGACUGCGAGCGAGACAUUUACAAACCAACUUAUCGAUCCAGCGUGUGGAAAUAUUUUGGCUUUUGCAAACACGGAGGUGUUCUAAAUAAGUCGGUCGCUGUUUGUAGAAUAUGUGGAAGACAAAUAAAAAACCACAACGGAUCUUUCCGGCUAUCUAAGGCGCCGUGGGAUUAAACAACGCCGACAGUCAGGCACCUCUAGCAGCGUUACCGCUGCAGCAGCAGCAGGUAACUCCAGCUCUGCAGACACCUCAGGCCUCGCCAGCAACAAACUCAACAUCACAGUAACAAUUGCCAAGUUUAUCUGUGAAGACAUGCGACCCUACAAUGUGGCUGAAAAUCCGGGGUUCUGUGAAUUGAUCCAAACAUUGUGUAAUUAUUGUAUGUUUACAUUGAAAGUGGUUGCACAAUAAAAGGUUAAUACAUUUGCCAUGCAUAAAUUGUUUGCCUGUUUAUAAUAUCCAUAAUUAAUUUAAACCUGAUUUCCUUACAAGAAACAACAGGGAUCUUGGCAACUUUGCAUGCACUGUCCAGUAAAGUUACUGAAUCGAUUUUAAGUCACUGAAUCGAAUCGUUCUAAAUUAACCCAGAUUGUCCAUGAAUCGAAUCGGCAACCACGAAUCGCGAUUCGAAUCGAAUCGUUGUUAAAAUGAAUCGUUACACCCCUACUGACUACAGAAUCACAAAAAGAUACUUAAAAAUAAGUAUGAAACUGAAGCCAGCAAUAAUAUGAAUAAAACCGUGGAGACACAAACGACUACUGUGUCUACGUGAAGGGGUCCUGGCUGUGUUCCUCUUCUCGUGUGGGUCCGUGGGUACACGUUGGGAGUCUGCCAACCUUCUUUCUUGUGAGGCAUCUGCGUUGUAGACAGUCAACACAGAUCACAAUGCACUGUGUGUCUGUCGGUCAACUGCUGGUUGUUAACCCGUCCGUGGUCACUGCAACGGUGGUUGUGAGCCUACUAUUACUAGAUCUGAAACAAUGGGACCCGUGGACCCAAGUUGCCCUCUCAGCUACUUUGACAGCAGUUUGGGUUACAAGGAGGACCUGGAAUGGUCCCUGCCAGCGUCGUGCUUCCCAGUUUUUUCUCCUAUCCAGGGCAGACCUGUGUCCGCACAGCAUUGUGCCAACUUGGUUUUAAGUGUGCCAUUCUCUCUUUCAACAGCCCCUCCACCGACUGGAUGGUAAGAUUAGUGUGUUUUUAAAUCAAUACCCAGGUAUGGGCUUAAUUCUGUAAUGGCCUGGUUGACAAAAUGAGAACCAUUGUCACUUGAUAUUUUAGCAGGAAUGCCUCAUCGAAGGAUGAUUUCAGAAAUUAGGGCCUUGGCUACUGUUGC